rnacentral:rRNA from 1 species
ACGGAGGAUGCAAGCGUUAUCCGGAAUUAUUGGGCGUAAAGCGUCCGUAGGUGGCGGUUCAAGUCUGCUGUCAAAAACAGUGGCUCAACCACUGAGCGGCGGUGGAAACUGAACAGCUAGAGUGUGGUAGGGGCAGAGGGAAUUCCCAGUGUAGCGGUGAAAUGCGUAGAGAUUGGGAAGAACACCGGUGGCGAAAGCGCUCUGCUGGACCACAACUGACACUCACAGGACGAAAGCUAGGGGAGCGAAUGGGA